rnacentral:rRNA from 1 species
AGUGAACGCUGGCGGUGGGCCUAACACAUGCAAGUCGAACGGCAGCACAGUAAGAGCUUGCUCUUACGGGUGGCGAGUGGCGGACGGGUGAGGAAUACAUCGGAAUCUACUUUUUCGUGGGGGAUAACGUAGGGAAACUUACGCUAAUACCGCAUACGUCCUACGGGUGAAAGCAGGGGAUCUUCGGACCUUGCGCGAUUGAAUGAGCCGAUGUCGGAUUAGCUAGUUGGCGGGGUAAAGGCCCACCAAGGCGACGAUCCGUAGCUGGUCUGAGAGGAUGAUCCGCCACACUGGAACAGAGACACGGUCCAGACUCCUACGGGAGGCAGCAGUGGGGAAUAUUGGACAAUGGGCGCAAGCCUGAUCCAGCCAUACCGAGUGGGUGAAGAAGGACUUCGGGUUGUAGAGCCCUUUUGUUGGGAAAGUAAAGAAGCAGGUUAAUACCCCGCUGUUCUGACGGUACCCAAAGAAUAAGCACCGGCUAACUUCGUG